UAGCUCUCUCAUGAUCUUCUUUUUAACCCAC
rnacentral:piRNA from 1 species